AGAGUUUGAUCAUGGCUCAGAUUGAACGCUGGCGGCAUGCCUUACACAUGCAAGUCGAACGGUAACGGGCCUUCGGGUGCCGACGAGGUGGCGAACGGGUGAGUAAUGCAUCGGAACGUACCUUUCAGUGGGGAUAACGUAGCGAAAGUUACGCUAAUACCGCAUAUUCUGUGAGCAGGAAAGCAGGGGAUCGCAAGACCUUGCGCUGAUUGAGCGGCCGAUGUCAGAUUAGCUAGUUGGUGAGGUAAAGGCUCACCAAGGCGACGAUCUGUAGCGGGGUCUGAGAGGAUGAUCCGCCACACUGGAACUGAGACACGGUCCAGACUCCUACGGGAGGCAGCAGUGGGGAAUUUUGGACAAUGGGGGCAACCCUGAUCCAGCCAUGCCGCGUGAGUGAAGAAGGCCUUCGGGUUGUAAAGCUCUUUCGGCCGGGAAGAAAUCGCAUGGGUUAAUACCCUGUGCGGAUGACGGUACCGGCAUAAGAAGCACCGGCUAACUACGUG
rnacentral:rRNA from 1 species